GCACAGUGGUAGCGACAGCAGAAACCUCAGAAUCCGGGGACAUUAGAGGUUGAGCAGUGGGCUGCUAAGUGAUUCAGAACACCGGCUAGUAACACCGUUCUGUACCUGUAUAGACUGCUGCUUUACCCAUGCAGCUUCUGCGGCUCAUGCACUGCCUUAUGAUCUAUAGUCCUUUUUGCUGUAGGGCUUGUUGCGCAAUAUGUUAUCGAUCUCAUUUACCACAUGUGAUGUCAUCUUUGGGAGAACCUGAGAGCAUGAGAGGAACAAAGAAUGUGGUUAGUACUUGGUACUUGUUCUUUGUGCUCAAUAUUAAGCAAAGUCAUCUAGAAUUGGAUACAUUUAUAAACCACCACCAGAAUGCUACCUCCCCAGCAGACAGGAAGCUCCCUAAGGUCAGGGGCCUUGUUUUGUUCACACUUUAUCUCCAGAGCCCGUAAGAGUACUUGGCCCAUAGUAGGUGCUCAUAAUUAUUGGUUGACUGAGUAAAUGAAGGCUCAUAGAAAUAUAGAAUAUCUAGAGCAGCUCUGUCCAAUAGAAAUGAGAGCCAUAUAUGUAAAUUUAGAUUUUCUAGUGGCCACAGUAAUGAAAGUGGAAAGCAGGUGAAAUUAAUACAUGUUUUACUCCAUUAUAUUCGAAAUAUCAUUUGAACAGGUAGUCAGUAUAGAAUAUUAUUAGAUGCUUUACAUGUUUUUAAGUACUAAAUCUUUGAAAUCCAGGGUGCAUUGUACACUUGGAGCGCAUCUCCAUUUGGAUUAGCUUCAAUAGCCACAGGUGGCCAGAGGCUACAGUAGUGGAGAGCACAGGUCUAGAGACUAAGGAGAGAUUCAGUCCAGCUGAUGGACAGAAUCCUGGUGAAGGAUGGCCACAGGUUAACAGGCAUCCCGGGUAGAUGGAACAGCAUGAAGAAGUGAAAAGUCUGUGAAACGGGGUGAUACAAGUGUAGAGUGAGUGGGGGAGGGGUGGGGAUGGUGGGAAUAGAGGAAAGGGAAGUUGAGGUAAACAGCGGAAGGCCUUGAAUGCCAUUUUUGGAGUUGGGACUUUAUGCUGUAGGUGGUGGGGAACUUCUCAGGACUUCUUAGCUGGGAGUGACCCCAUCAGACACAUGGAGGUAUUCUGAAGGAAGAGUUGGAAGGAGAUUGAAAGGGGACACAUGUUAGAAAUUUGUUGCAGUCCUAGCCAGACACUGAGAGCCUUAACUGGACAGUGGCGGUGGAGGAGAAAAGGAGAGUGCCUCUGCGGGACAUUCUGGAGGCUGAUGGUGAUCUCACGACUGGGUGACUAGGAAGAUGCUGGCGUAGGUAAUUAAUUGUUGAGAGACCACAGGAGGAGAAGUUUGGAGCCUAAGUUUGGGGUAGGAUAUGCUGAGGUGAAGGUGCCUUUGGGAUCCCACGUAGAAGUGACUUGCAGGCAGCCAGAAGGGCAGCUGUGGAGCUUAGUGGCAGUGGAAGGACUGGAGUUGAGAAUUUGCAAGUCAUUUGCAGGGUCAUGCUCAAUGAAGCCCUGGGGAAGGAUGAGAUCAUCUAGGGCCAGCUAGCAUUUAUUGCAAGAAGUGGGCCAAGGGCACACAUUACACCAUAAGACAAGGGACAGAGGCAGGCUUCUUGCAGGAAUAGUCUGAGCCUGUGUGGAGUCUGUGGUGAAAUACAUUCAUGAUGACUGAUUCUGAGGUUUCCACCUCACCCUUCCUCUGCUGCAGUCAUGUUGGCCAGCGUGACCUUGUCUCCACUCACAUGCUCUCCCCAGAAGCCUCAGGGUUUGGCAGGGUGGUAGAGCUCCUUCCUCACUGGUCUGGUAACAUUUUCCUCUCUGAAUGAAGCUAAAGCACAUUUGGUUUCCCACUAGCCUUGGAGCAUCAGAGGAUCUCAGUUACUGUGCGAUUUAAAUGUGAGACUGCAACACUGAGACUCAAAUCUAGAAGCUGGUUGGAAGUUUUGUGUCUAGAAUACAGUGGGCUAGCCAUGUGAGGAAAAAAACUCUUCAUUCACUACACCAAUAAGAAAAGAGAUCUAAACAUUAGUAAAAUGAAACCAUAAAAGUACUUGAAUAAAACAUGAAAAAAUAAUAGUGUUAUAAGACCUAAAUGUUCAAGAGAAGCCAUACAUUAAGAAUUUUAUGGGAAGUUGCCCAAUUUUUUAAUGUUGGCAACUGUUUUAAAACAUUUUCGUCCCUGCAGGUCACACAAACAUCCCAUGAGCUAGCAAAUUGCACGCGUAGGAGUAUCCUGACUGCAGUAGUUGGCGGGUGAGGGGAGGUCUGGCUAGCGUUGCCGGCUGGAGGCAUUAGGGGAGCUCUCCCAGGACUGGGUCACUGUCAAGAUGGACCUUGGGGAUGGAGCCGGAUUUGGCCAGCCUGGGGUGGUGGACACUUUGCAGGAGGAGGGCCACUAUUCUGGGGAUUAGGAUCCCAGGGAAGGGAGGGGAGGGGAGAUGAGCCGUGGACGGGAAGGCCCGACUGCUGAGGAGCCUGGACUUCUCUGAGUGGAUGGUGGGGAGCCUCGAGGUGCUUUAAGGCUGGAGGGUGGGGACCUGUGCAGGUGAUGGGCUGCCUGCAGCUGUGGCUCCUCUCCAGCCUCUCAUCUCUUGAGGCUCUGAUUUAUAAAUGCCUCUCCAGUUUAUGCUCACGUUAGGCACAUUCACUUCUUGGAGCAGCUGCCUUCCUGUGCCCAUUAGAAACUUCUUUUCCUUAUAGAUGCUGGCACUGCACUCUUUCUAUCCAGUCCCACCAACUGCUGCAGGGAGCCCCCAGCCACACAAUCUACUCUCACCACAUCAAGGGGCCCGGUUACAGCCUGCCAAGGGUGGAAUCUGUGGCGCUGGGCUCACGGGAGGUGGAGUAGAAAGGGAAAAGGGAAGGUAAACCCUCCUGGUAGCAGCCUCCCUGCUUGGACAACAUCCCUUUUCUCUUACCCUUUGCGCAUGGAAGCCCCAUCGUGCCACCAGCCAGAGCCUUGCUAGGGAGGAAGUGCUUUGGCAAGAUGACUGCCUCAGUUUUCCUCUGAAAUGUUAUCUUUGGCUACCUGGAGUAUUGCCACAGCCCAGGAACUACCUUUUCUCUUUUUUACCGUCCCAGGCAGUGUGAGUCCCCCCUUGGAAUGGCAGCCAUCACUCUAUUAGCUGACAGGAAUCCUUUUUCUUGCCAAGCCAUCUGCAAGUCAUGCCUCUCUUUCCAAAACCUGCGGACUCCUUGACCUUCAUGGCCACCAUCCUUGCUAGUCCAAGCCACCAUCACCCGUCACCCGGACAACCUGUCCUUGCCUUUCUUCAUUCUGCUUUUCACACAACAGCCAAAGCAAUCUUCCUCCUCUUAAAACCCUCCAAAGGAUUUGCUGUGAGUAGAACAAAAUUCUGACUUCUCUAGUGUUCCGUGUGACCUGUCCCCUGCCCGCGCCCACCGUCCUUUAUGCUCACUGCAUGUUGACCACAUUCGCCUUAGGCUGGUGCUUCCUGGAAAAAGCCAAGUGCGUCUGCGUCUCAGGGCCUUUGUACUGCUCUUCUGUGUGUCUGCUCCUUCCAGGGCUUUUCACGUGCUGCAUCCUCCACUUGAAGGCUUCAGAAUAAGCAUAUCCCAGAGGAGCUUUUGGCAAGGACAUUAUCUAAAGUGGGCUCACUCAUUUCCCAGUUAGUCUCUAUUACAAUACCAUCUUUAGUUACUUAGUAAACCUUCUCACUUGAAAUUAUUUUAUAUGUUUCUUUAUCAUGUGCCUCUGCCACUGGAAUAUAAGCUCCUUGAAGGUUGGGUAAUAUCUUUCUGGUUUCCUGUGGUGUCCCCAGUGCUGAGUACAGAGUAAGCUCUCAGAGAUCUCCUGAAUGAACCACGGGAUAGAAGAGUGAGUCUUAAUUCCCUCUUUCUCAGGCAGCCCGUGAGCUCUUGAGGGCACCGUCCUGUGCUUAUCUCGGAACACUCUCUGCCUAGCAUGGUGCCAGACGCAGAAUAAGCACUCAAUGAGUAUUAGUGGAAUUGAAAUCACUGGGUUGCAUUUCAGUGCUUUUGUGUAUAGACUGUUCCCGUUUCCUCCUCGUCAUUGCGGAGCCUUUAUCUGUUCCCAGAGCACAAGUGAAAAUAAGAAAAGGUGGGGAGGCUUUCUUAAGAGGGAGCAGGGACAGGGAACCCCACAAUCUGGGAGGAAUUCUCAGAAGCUGAGAGGCAGAGAUGAUCACCCAGCUGCACAGCCCUAAGAAAGGUGACGGUAGAGAAGGAGGUCUGCACCGUUUAUCUGCCAGCAUAUUCGAGGCUAUUCUUCAAAAGGAUUUUUUAAAGUUUUAAGUUGAAUCAAGCUUGUCCCCACCUCCAUCUACAUCCUUCUGGGAGAGGUAACAGGGCUAAGUGCUGGUUUCGGGGACAGAUGGACAGGGGAGAAGCUGUGAGGCACUUCUGUUUGGGCAGGUGAUACAGCUACGGCAAGAGCCGUGGAGGGGCUCGUUCCUGCAGCCUCUGGCUGGGCUGAGAGUGGGGCAGGCUCAGGACCGAGAUGUGACCUUUGGGGGCAGGGGAUGGUCACCACAGCCACCAACCUCCACCCUCUCCUCAGAACUCCCAGGAACAUCUCUCUCCCACUUCCCCUCCUGCUGCCUUACAGGCUCCCCAGGUACAGCUGCAGGCUCCCUCCAGGCCUAGCAAUCCCUGCAGGGGAGGGAAUGGGGGUGGGCGCUCCUGAAAUUGCUGUUAGGGAGAUGUGAUCCUGGAAUUCUGAGCCUAUUUGUCUUAAAAGUGUCAAACAUUCAUUCAUUCAAUAGGUAUUUCUUGAGUGUUGACUAAGGGCAAUAGAGUCUAGGAACUGGAAAAUCAGUGGAGAAGCAAGAAAGACACAAGUCUCUGACCUCAGGGGAGACAGGCGAUUAUACUAUGUUAUCGUAAGUGCUGUGAUGGGGAGAGAGAUCCAGGAUGCUAGGAGAGCAGAAAAGAGGGGCCUGGCACACUGUAGACUGGCAAUAAAUAUUUGUGGGGAAAAAAGUAAAUACAUGAUGUGUGGAUAUUGUCCUACGGCUACUACAUUUCAAGCUGGUUAUUAGGCAGGCUUGUGUGGUUCGACCUGGGAACCCAGUCGUCAGGUGUAACAUUGCUUGGGUCAUAGAAUACACUGUCCCACAGACACAAGCCAUCCUGAGAAAUGAGCCCGGAGGAGACUGCCUGUUAAUCAGCAGAGGACAUCCCUGGAUCCACAUACUGUGAAAGUUCUGUUGCUUCUUUUGCCUUUGUCCCCAUUUCCCUUCUUCCCCUAUCUAGGAACAGGUAGCCUAUUCCCUAUAUUAGGGGCUUUCAUGCAACUCAGCUGUGACACAAUGAAGGACAGAGGUGGGGAGAUGGGACACUGCCUGGGGGCAUCUUCAAAGGCACCAGGAAAUUCCCUGGAGUUGGUUGGAAAGGGCUGCAGUACUUGCCUGAAUGGCACCGAGGUUUUCAAUGAGUUGUUCAGGAGUGGAUGAUCCCAGGAGCACGGAACUCACACCCUCGUUUCUCAGGCACCACGCUGGGAAGAGAGAGCAGUCGGUCAGGAAGUCAAGGCACUUCUGACUGUUGAUGAGUUUGCACACACCAUUUGUAGCUUCCGUUGUCACAACCAAAACAUAUUAAUUUGGGGGGAGGAUGGACAGCAUGCUCCAGGAUUAAAAACGUCAGCAGCAACCCCUGUUGUGUGGAGGACUCGGUAGAAUCCGUGCACGUGAACUGUGGGCUUAGGGCUCCUCUGCCCGACAACUGGGGCAUCCAGUCUAGGUGCCCAGCCCAGGAACACUGUCUUGUUCCUGAAGACACCUGACACUGCUCCUGGGCGAACGUCUGGAUUCCUGUUUGCAUCUGUCUUUUCCAUCUCAUUCAUGCUCUCACUUUCCCCUCAUCUGUUACAUAGAGUCCGUGUAGAUUCUGGGUACCUGGGUCCUCUGUCUCCACUGACCUGUCAGCCCUCUCUGGACCUGCCUUUCUUCCUGAUGCGAGGUUCAUUCUGGGGAGACCGUCUCUCUCACCAGCCCUCAAACCCCUCACCCCUCCUCUGCCUCUAGCAACCUCUACCCUUAAACCCUCUUCAACCCAGGCCUCCUCCCUCUCAGCAGAUGGCCUAGCUGCCUACUUUACGUAGAAAAUUGAGUCCCUCAGGUAGCAUAUUCCUUAAUUUCCCACUCACCUACGGACACAAGUACACACACUCAUACUCCAGUUUCAGAGGCUAUGGGGUGCUGUCUGUUCAAAGCCAAACUCUGCCCUGGUCCCAUUCCUUUUGCCUUUUCUUGGAUUUGAUUCAUCCAUUAUUUCUCCCCCUCUCUUGCUCUCCUGGAUGUUUGAUUUCUUACUGUCCUCUUUCUCUUUAUCAAGAAGGCAUAAUCAAAUUUCUCCCAUUCUAAAAUAAGCCUCCUCAGGCCCUUCAUACCUGUGUAGCUGCCACCCUACCCUUCUCCUCUUAAACUUGUAAAAGGCCCGAUGAGACUCCCUGCAUCCCCCUCACAUCCCAGUCCCCUUCUCACCAUGUCAGAAGCCAGGGUGCCCAGGAAACUCCCUGUGGUUCAAGUAGACUUUGCAAUUUGUACCUGCCUGGAACUAGAUAUUGCUCUAGGCCCAGGGAUGCAGUGUCUGCUGGAUGUCCCUGCUAGACACCCCACAGCCACUGUGAACUUCUUGCUACUUAACUAAUAAGCCUGUCCCUCUUGGGUUACCAAUCUCAUUUGGUGGCAUCACCAGUAACUUGGCCUCCCAAACCAGAAACCUGGGAGUUAUCCUUGGGCACUGUCCUUUUCUGAUCCCUCAUUCCCUUUUAAUUGUCAUCUAGUUGAUUGUCCUUCUUAAAUAUUUCUCUAAUCCAGUAGUUCUCAAAUUUUAGCAUGCCUCAGUCACCUGGAGGGCCUGUGAAACAUUGAUUACUCAGUGCUUCACCUUGCGUUUCUGACCCAGAACGUCUGGAGUGGGGCCUGAGGAUCUGCAUUUCUGACAAGUUCCCAGGUGAUGCUGAUGCUGCCGGUAUAGGACGGUUCUGGUGCAAUGUGGCUUUCAAUUGUUACCCGUGACUGUGACCUUUCAUUGACUCCACUAUGUCGGAAGAGCCACUUUCGUGGCUCUGGAAGUUUCGCGGUGACGCUGCUCCCAUGGGAUAGGCCUUCCAUGUGGCAGUAGCCUUGGCCACGCUCGCAGCCCUGCUCCUCAGCCUCUCACCAAACCCGCCUUACCUUCGACGGGGAUGGAAAAUUGAACCAGAAGCAACGGAUGUCACUACACAGAUCAGGGGUGCUCACCCUUGACACUGUGAGGAUGUGUGCGUUUUCACUGACGUGUUCUUGUUUAAACUGUGUUAUAAGGGAAAGGAGAAGGAAGUAAGAAAAGUGUUUCAGCAUGUGGAACUACUCUAGGGAACUCUGAAAAACCUAUCUAAUGCUAUGUCUCAUUUUAGAUAGCAUGAACCAGGAGUCUAUGCUUCAGAGAUCAUCUGCCCCUGCAAUAGGUAUGUUAUUAUGCAAGAGAUGUGGAUCAGCAAUAGAGAAUGAUUUCAUUUUCCGUGAUCCAGCAAGGCUUCCCCUCCCAAGUGACUUUCUCACCCACGGCUAGCUGAGGUAGCGUGCAUCCCAGACGCUCCGCAAUCGGGGAAAGGUCUUUCAGCUUGUUUUGCUGUUUUCUCCCUUCUUCACUCACAAUCCUUUCCUUCAACCACUGGUAGCACUAGAGAUAAGAAGAACAUUUAAAUAUUAAUGUCUGGUAAGGGUUUGAUGCAGAUUGUUAAUUCAAUAAAAUGUAAGAGCCUCGUGGUGAAUUCCUCAAUCUUCUUGGCUCUGACCUUUCUGUUUGAUGGUGACAAGGAUGCCUAUGUCUUCAUGCAAGGAAAUGUUCCCCACCGUCUCCUUCUUUGUUUACUGAUUCAAGACAGAUUGAUUUUGACUAAAACUCACCAUUCAGAUCCAUCGACACACACAAAAGUUGUUAAAAUCCUAACAUAUAAUCAAUUAGAUCCCAUCUGGACAUGAUGUUUCAUAUUGCAAUAGCCCUUAGAAUGUAGGGGAAAAAAGGCAUUUACAUUUCACCAGGGUCUAUUAUGUUUCCUUGUUGUCAAGGAAGUUGGGUGCCAAGCUUUCUUCUCAAAGGAAGUCAUUAUCUUACAUUUCCUGCUGUAACUAUCCUUCUCCCUCUUGCCUUCAAUUUACUCCUAGUCUCUUCAGUAUUCUUAUAAUAGUGUUUUAUUGUUAGCUUUCUCUGCUCCUCCUAGAAGCAGAUGUGAAUGGUAUAAUUGAUAGGUACUGAGUACAUUUUAAAGUCACACCACGAGGCAUUUGGAACUUCCCCGACCAGGGAUGGAACCUGUGCCCCCUGCAGUGGAAGCGCAGAGUCUUAACCACUGGACCACCAGAGAAGUCCCAUUUUAAAGUUUUAAAGUGGAUAAACACUUUCCCAAACGUGUAUUACCUUUUGUAUAACGUUUGAAACUUAAAAAGGCAAGGGAACUUAAAAAGGUAAAUGAGAAACUAAUCUUUAAAACCUCUGAGAAGAGACUGACCCUGAUGUAGACUAUGAAGUGAGCCUGAUUUCCUAAAUAUAAGAAAAAGAAUAUUUUAGAAUUUCUCAAUGCCCUAUUUUUCAGAAGGUUCUGCUCUUACUAUGAAACAAGGAACAAUAGACCCUUACGUACAAAGCUAGCACUAUGCAGCAACACCCAAAGGAAAAGAAUAUUUGUAAGAAUCGGUUAGUCUGUUUUAGUGACAAUAAUAAAAACCAUCUCCCUGUGUGGCAA